UGCUCCGAGGAGCGUUGCAGCGAACCGGUGGCCUGUUAUCUGUCAGGCUGGUUUGCGAGGCUCGGACUUCAUGCACGCGUGAUGUGGCUUCGCCGUCUGGCGCCCGACACUCCAUGCAUUCGCAACGACGCUCAUCCGCC
rnacentral:ncRNA from 2 species